UGAGGAAUAUUGGUCAAUGGGCGAGAGCCUGAACCAGCCAAGUAGCGUGCAGGAUGACGGCCCUAUGGGUUGUAAACUGCUUUUAUAUGGGAAUAAAGUGAGGGACGUGUCCCUUAUUGCAUGUACCAUAUGAAUAAGGACCGGCUAAUUCCGUGCCAGCAGCCGCGGUAAUACGGAAGGUCCAGGCGUUAUCCGGAUUUAUUGGGUUUAAAGGGAGCGUAGGCUGUUUGUUAAGCGUGUUGUGAAAUGUAAGAGCUCAACUUUUAGAUUGCAGCGCGAACUGGCAGACUUGAGUGCGCACAACGUAGGCGGAAUUCAUGGUGUGGCGAUGAAAUGCUUAGAUAUCAUGACGAACUCCGAUUGCGAAGGCAGCUUACGGGCGCGCAACUGACGCUAAAGCUCGAAGGUGCGGGUAUCGAACAGG
rnacentral:rRNA from 1 species